AUUGAACGCUGGCGGCAGGCCUAACACAUGCAAGUCGAACGGUAGCACAGAGGAGCUUGCUCCUUGGGUGACGAGUGGCGGACGGGUGAGUAAUGUCUGGGAAACUGCCCGAUGGAGGGGGAUAACUACUGGAAACGGUAGCUAAUACCGCAUAACGUCGCAAGACCAAAGAGGGGGACCUUCGGGCCUCUUGCCAUCGGAUGUGCCCAGAUGGGAUUAGCUAGUAGGUGGGGUAACGGCUCACCUAGGCGACGAUCCCUAGCUGGUCUGAGAGGAUGACCAGCCACACUGGAACUGAGACACGGUCCAGACUCCUACGGGAGGCAGCAGUGGGGAAUAUUGCACAAUGGGCGCAAGCCUGAUGCAGCCAUGCCGCGUGUAUGAAGAAGGCCUUCGGGUUGUAAAGUACUUUCAGCGAGGAGGAAGGCGUUGU
rnacentral:rRNA from 1 species